UACGUAGGUGGCAAGCGUUUGUCCGGAUUUACUGGGCGUAAAGAGCGCGCAGGCGGUCGUUCAAGUCGCGUGUGAAAGCCCCCGGCUCAACUGGGGAGGGUCACGCGAUACUGAUCGACUCGAAGGCAGGAGAGGGUAGUGGAAUUCCCGGUGUAGUGGUGAAAUGCGUAGAUAUCGGGAGGAACACCAGUGGCGAAGGCGACUACCUGGCCUGUUCUUGACGCUGAGGCGCGAAAGCUAGG
rnacentral:rRNA from 1 species